rnacentral:rRNA from 1 species
CAUUACAGAGUUGCAAAACUCCCAACCCAUGACUAUAUACCUAUUUUGUGUCUUUCGGCAGGCGGCCCCGGGGAGGGGCCUCAGCCUACGGCGCCUGCCAGAGGGACCACUCCAUACUCUUUUACGUAUCUAUGAGUCCAAACAAAAAUAUCAAAAUUUUCAAUUGUGGAUCUCUUGGUUCUGGCAUCGAUGAAGAACGCAGCGAAAUGCGAUAAGUAAUGUGAAUUGCAGAAUUCAGCGAAUCAUCGAAUCUUUGAACGCACAUUGCGCCCAUUAGUAUUCUAGUGGGCAUGCCUGUUCGAGCGUCAUUUCCACCUUCGAACCUACGGGUUCGGUGUUGGGGUUCUUGCAUCUGCAAACUCCAAAAGCCAGUGGCGGGCUCGUUGCGACCCCAAGCGUAGUAAUUCACCUCGUUUAGGGCGUCCGACGGUGUUCUGCCGUUAAAAUCGUACUCUGUACCAAAGAUUGACCUCGGAUCAGGUAGGAAUACCC